GGAGGGAUGCCGGAGCUGGUCAAACGGCCCUGACUCGAAAUCAGUGGGCGGCGUAUGCCGCACGAGAGUUCGAAUCUCUCUCCCUCCGCCA
rnacentral:tRNA from 1 species